GGGAAUCUUCCGCAAUGGGCGAAAGCCUGACGGAGCAACGCCGCGUGAGUGAUGAAGGUCUUCGGAUCGUAAAACUCUGUUAUUAGGGAAGAACAUAUGUGUAAGUAACUGUGCACAUCUUGACGGUACCUAAUCAGAAAGCCACGGCUAACUACGUGCCAGCAGCCGCGGUAAUACGUAGGUGGCAAGCGUUAUCCGGAAUUAUUGGGCGUAAAGCGCGCGUAGGCGGUUUUUUAAGUCUGAUGUGAAAGCCCACGGCUCAACCGUGGAGGGUCAUUGGAAACUGGAAAACUUGAGUGCAGAAGAGGAAAGUGGAAUUCCAUGUGUAGCGGUGAAAUGCGCAGAGAUAUGGAGGAACACCAGUGGCGAAGGCGACUUUCUGGUCUGUAACUGACGCUGAUGUGCGAAAGCGUGGGGAUCAAACAGGAUUAGAUACCCUGGUAGUCCACGCCGUAAACGAUGAGUGCUAAGUGUUA
rnacentral:rRNA from 1 species